UACGUAGGUGACAAGCGUUGUCCGGAUUUACUGGGCGUAAAGAGCGCGCAGGCGGUCGAUCAAGUCGAGUGUGAAAGCCCACGGCUCAACCGUGGAGGGUCAUUGGAAACUGGGGGACUUGAGUGCAGAAGAGGAGAGUGGAAUUCCACGUGUAGCGGUGAAAUGCGUAGAGAUGUGGAGGAACACCAGUGGCGAAGGCGACUCUCUGGUCUGUAACUGACGCUGAGGCGCGAAAGCGUGGGGAGCAAACAGG
rnacentral:rRNA from 1 species